UAGGGAAUCUUCCGCAAUGGACGCAAGUCUGACGGAGCAACGCCGCGUGAGUGAAGAAGGAUUUCGGUUCGUAAAACUCUGUUGUUAGAGAAGAACAGCGCAUAGAGUAACUGUUAUGCGUGUGACGGUAUCUAACCAGAAAGCCACGGCUAACUACGUGCCAGCAGCCGCGGUAAUACGUAGGUGGCAAGCGUUGUCCGGAUUUAUUGGGCGUAAAGCGAGCGCAGGCGGUCAAUUAAGUCUGAUGUGAAAGCCCCCGGCUCAACCGGGGAGGGUCAUUGGAAACUGGUUGACUUGAGUGCAGAAGAGGAGAGUGGAAUUCCAUGUGUAGCGGUGAAAUGCGUAGAUAUAUGGAGGAACACCAGUAGCGAAGGCGACUCUCUGGUCUGUAACUGACGCUGAGGCUCGAAAGCGUGGGUAGCAAACAGG
rnacentral:rRNA from 1 species